rnacentral:ncRNA from 1 species
AGGAGAAAGCCGAAAAUCCUAUAAAAGAGUAGGCA